UGCCGCCUCUGUCUUCGGGCCCGCUCCGCUCCCUGGUGUGUUGAUUCUUCCCCCAGCUGCUGCCUAAUGGAGUCCAGGCGUCCGCGUCACAGGAAAUGCCUAUACUGCCCUCCUCACUCACUUCCGGUGGCAGAUAUUCAGUGAAGGUCUUAACAAAAGGCAUCAAUUCCCCAGGCUGCACUUGAAGACACUUAGAGGAGUAAACAUCUUUGUGAGGAACACUUGGAUGACUUCCUGUGUAAGAUAAGGAACAAAAAAGUGUUCAGUGUCACUAUUUGCUGUUAAACACAUGUGCCCACAUUUUCCUUCUUCCCCCACCACUAGUCAAGAAAACACUAACAAGCUAGGAGUUCAUUUUACAGAUGAGGAAACUGAGGCAAACAAAAUUAAGCAACUUGCCCAGCAUCACACAGUUAGCAAGUGUUUGAGGCCAGAUUUGAACUCAAGAAGAUGAGAGAACCUGGCACUGAAUGAAGAACUAUGAUCAUAGCCCAGAAGGCUUUGGAGUCCAGAAGGCCUGGGACUUAGUCUCUGACACAUCCUGGUAAUAUGAUUCUAGGCAGGUUACUUAACUUCUCAAAGCCUGAGGCAACUUUCUGAGACUACAAUUCUCCCCCUCUGCGUCAGUGAAAUCACAUGCCUGUUGGAAAGAGAAAAACAAAACUAAACCAAAGCUCAGAAUAAUGGUGGAGAGAAUUAUUCUUUUACAUGCCUUCAUUUGAACUUUAUUGUCAUUUAUGAGUUUACCCUCAACAUUACAUCAACCUAUGGGAGAAAUGAACCAUCUGUAGGGAAGCCACUUGAGUGGAUUUUAUUUUCUUGGCAAAUUAUGAAUGGUACAUUGUUGAUAUAAUUAGGUGCUGUUUGCAAGGUGCUGCCUCUCCCAGGUACCCUUCAGAGAAUCUGGUUUCAUAAAGUGAGUCAUUUAUUGGUAUCCCUUCUGCCCACUCUUGUAGCUGGUGUGAUUUAGCAAGAAAUCUCUCUUCAAAAACUUUGAUUUCUCUCUCCCUCCUCCUCUCUCUUCUGCAUUCCAUUUCAUUGAAUCCAACUUGAACUCAGAUUUGUAAAGAGCAGACAGGAGGGGGCGACAAAUCUGCAUUUUUCCUAGCUUUCGGAGUCUGAAAAGUAUCAAGUGAUGUUUGGUCCUUCUGGUCCCCUGGCCAGGGACUUUUCUAUUUCAAGUGCUUUUUGGUCCAGGGCCUACUGAUGCUGCAGAGCAUCCUAUUUGCAAAGCUGCAGCAGGCAGGGUCACUCCCUGUCUGCCUUCCAUGUCCAGUAGACUUUAUAUUAUCAACAUGUUUCAAGACCCUUCCUGUAAGUUGAAAAUCACACAUAAUAGUGAAUCUCAUAAUUUAAUUAAGUUUUUCUUAUAUGAACAUACCUAGGCACUUUAUGACUUUUCAUAGGUUUAUCAGAGCUCCCAGCAUCACUCCUCUUGUACUUUGGGGCCAUUAUUAUCCACUAAAUAACAUUAUUUAGUGGAUAAUAAUGGCUCUGCUCUGACAUGGAUGUGACUUGUUACAGGUGAGAACUUCUGCCAAAGAAUGCUGUGGGAGUGAAUGUUUGGCACAAAACAAUGUAACGGCUCACAUGAAUGUGUCUCAGAGCGAGAAUGAGCAGAGUGGAUGAAAUGGAGCAGAUUUAAUAUGUAAUUAAAAAGAAUUAUUUUACUUAUUUUUCUGCCUUUAUUUUUUUCACUGUCAAUUGCAUAUACUUUAAUUUGCAUGUAUUGAGUCUUUGCAAAACUAGGUUCUACUGUUCUUUGCAUA